CGGGUGAGUAACACGUGAGUAACCUGCCCCUGACUCUGGGAUAAGCGUUGGAAACGACGUCUAAUACUGGAUAUGACCGCCGAUCGCAUGGUCUGGUGGUGGAAAGAUUUUUUGGUUGGGGAUGGACUCGCGGCCUAUCAGCUUGUUGGUGAGGUAAUGGCUCACCAAGGCGACGACGGGUAGCCGGCCUGAGAGGGUGACCGGCCACACUGGGACUGAGACACGGCCCAGACUCCUACGGGGAGGCAGCAGUGGGGAAUAUUGCACAAUGGGCGAAAGCCUGAUGCAGCAACGCCGCGUGAGGGAUGACGGCGUUCGGGUUGUAAACCUCUUUUAGUAGGGAAGAAGCGUAAGUGACGGUACCUGCAGAAAAAGCACCGGCUAACUACGUGCCAGCAGCCGCGGUAAUACGUAGGGUGCAAGCGUUGUCCGGAAUUAUUGGGCGUAAAGAGCUCGUAGGCGGUUUGUCGCGUCUGCUGUGAAAUCCCGAGGCUCAACCUCGGGCUUGCAGUGGGUACGGGCAGACUAGAGUGCGGUAGGGGAGAUUGGAAUUCCUGGUGUAGCGGUGGAAUGCGCAGAAAUCAGGAGGAACACCGAUGGCGAAGGCAGAUCUUCUGGGCCGUAACUGACGCUGAGGAGCGAAAGCGUGGGGAGCGAACAGGAUUAGAUACCCUGGUAGUCCACGCCGUAAACGUUGGGCGCUAGAUGUAAGGACCUUUCCACGGUUUCUGUGUCGUAGCUAACGCAUUAAGCGCCCCCGCCUGGGGGAGUACGGCCGCAAGGCUAAUAACUCAAAGGAAUUGACUGGGGGCCCGGCACAAGCGGCGGAGCAUGCGGAUUUAAUUCGAUUGCAACGCGAAGAACCUUACCAAGGCUUGACAUACACCGGAAACGGCCAGAGAUGGUUGCCCCCUUGUGGUCGGUGUACAGGUGGUGCAUGGUUGUCGUCAGCUCGUGUCGUGAGAUGUUGGGUUAAGUCCCGCAACGAGCGCAACCCUCGUUCUAUGUUGCCAGCGCGUUAUGGCGGGGACUCAUAGGAAACUGCCGGGGUCAACUCGGAGGAAGGUGGGGAUGACGUCAAAUCAUCAUGCCCCUUAUG
rnacentral:rRNA from 1 species